AGAGUUCGAUUCUGGCUCAGGACGAACGCUGGCGGCGUGCCUAACACAUGCAAGUCGAGCGAGUUGAUUCUCUUCGGAGAUGAAGCUAGCGGCGGACGGGUGAGUAACACGUGGGCAACCUGCCUCAUAGAGGGGAAUAGCCUCCCGAAAGGGAGAUUAAUACCGCAUAAGAUUGUAGCUUCGCAUGAAGUAGCAAUUAAAGGAGCAAUCCGCUAUGAGAUGGGCCCGCGGCGCAUUAGCUAGUUGGUGAGGUAACGGCUCACCAAGGCGACGAUGCGUAGCCGACCUGAGAGGGUGAUCGGCCACAUUGGGACUGAGACACGGCCCAG
rnacentral:rRNA from 1 species